rnacentral:rRNA from 1 species
UUGAACGCUGGCGGAAUGCUUUACACAUGCCGGUCGCGCGGCAGCGCGGCCUUCGGGCUGGCGGCGAGCGGCGAACGGGUGAGUAAUGCAUCGGAACAUGCCCAGUCGUGGGGGAUAACACUUCGAAAGAAGUGCUAAUACCGCAUACGUCCUGAGGGGGAAAGCGGGGGAUCGCAAGACCUCGCGCGAUUGGAGUGGCCGAUGUCAGAUUAGCUAGUUGGUGGGGUAAAGGCCUACCAAGGCGACGAUCUGUAGCUGGUCUGAGAGGAUGAUCAGCCACACUGGGACUGAGACACGGCCCAGACUCCUACGGGAGGCAGCAGUGGGGAAUUUUGGACAAUGGGGGCAACCCUGAUCCAGCCAUUCCGCGUGAGUGAAGAAGGCCUUCGGGUUGUAAAGCUCUUUCGGCAGGAACGAAACGGUGGGCUCUAACAUAGUCCGCUAAUGACGGUACCUGAAGAAGAAGCACCGGCUAACUACGUG